UUGAAAAUCUCUUAAACUCGUGGUGCUCAUUGCACGGGUUCACUCUCGCUGGGUUUGUACGCCCCGACCGUCGACGCACGAAAGUUGGUAAUACUCAAAAACGGUAGCCUAACUUCUUCGGAAGAGGGAACCGUCUAAGGUAGGAUCGAUGAUUGGGGUUAAGUCGUAACAAGGUAUCCCUACCGGAAGGUGGGGAUGGAUCA
rnacentral:rRNA from 1 species